AUUGAACGCUGGCGGAAUGCUUUACACAUGCAAGUCGAACGGCAGCACGGGUGCUUGCACCUGGUGGCGAGUGGCGAACGGGUGAGUAAUACAUCGGAACGUACCCAGUCGUGGGGGACAACGUAGCGAAAGUUACGCUAAUACCGCAUACGUCCUGAGGGAGAAAGCGGGGGACCGUAAGGCCUCGCGCGAUUGGAGCGGCCGAUGGCGGAUUAGCUAGUUGGUGGGGUAAAGGCCUACCAAGGCGACGAUCCGUAGCGGGUCUGAGAGGACGGCCCGCCACACUGGAACUGAGACACGGUCCAGACUCCUACGGGAGGCAGCAGUGGGGAAUUUUGGACAAUGGGCGAAAGCCUGAUCCAGCCAUUCCGCGUGAGUGAAGAAGGCCUUCGGGUUGUAAAGCUCUUUCGGCAGGGAAGAAACGGCUUGGGAUAAUACCCCGGGCUAAUGACGGUACCUGAAGAAGAAGCACCGGCUAACUACGUGUCAGCAGCCGCCGUAA
rnacentral:rRNA from 1 species